UACGGAGGGUGCAAGCGUUAAUAGGAAUUACUGGGCGUAAAGCGCGCGUAGGUGGCUUGAUAAGCCGGUUGUGAAAGCCCCGGGCUCAACCUGGGAACGGCAUCCGGAACUGUCAGGCUAGAGUGCAGGAGAGGAAGGUAGAAUUCCCGGUGUAGCGGUGAAAUGCGUAGAGAUCGGGAGGAAUACCAGUGGCGAAGGCGGCCAUCUGGCUGAUAACUGACGCUGAGGUGCGAGAGCGUGGGGAGCAAACAGG
rnacentral:rRNA from 1 species